rnacentral:pre_miRNA from 1 species
AUACAAACUACUUGGGCAUCUUGUUAAAAUACAGAUUCUGAUUUAAGAAGUCUGGGGUGGGGCCAAAGGUUCUGCAUUUCUAACAAGCUCUCAGGUGGUGACAAU